AAUGAACGUUGGCGGCAUGGAUUAGGCAUGCAAGUCGAGCGAGAAGUGUAGCAAUACACGGAAAGCGGCGGAAGGGAGAGUAAUACGUGGGAAUCUGCCCUUAGACCUGGGAUAGCAGCGGGAAACUGCUGGUAAUACCAGAUAAUGUCUAUGGACCAAAGGUGUGAUUCCGUCUAGGGAUGAGCCCACGUCCUAUUAGCUAGUUGGUAGGGUAAUGGCCUACCAAGGCGAUGAUGGAUAGCGGGUGUGAGAGCAUGACCCGCCUCACUGGGACUGAGACACUGCCCAGACACCUACGGGUGGCUGCAGUCGAGAAUCUUCGGCAAUGGGCGCAAGCCUGACCGAGCGAUGCCGCGUGCGGGAUGAAGGCCUUCGGGUUGUAAACCGCUGUCGAGGGGGAGCAACUUCCAUAGAGUUAUCUUUAUGGAUUGAGUGAUCCCUGGAGGAAGGACGGGCUAAGUUCGUGCCAGCAGCCGCAGUAAUAC
rnacentral:rRNA from 1 species